rnacentral:rRNA from 1 species
GACGAACGCUGGCGGCGUGCUUAGCACAUGCAAGUCGAACGCGCCUGUCCUCUGGGUUUCUGGGGGGUGGGUGAGUGGCGAACGGGUGAGUAACACGUGAGUAACCUGCCCCCUUCUUCGGGAUAACGGUCUGAAAGGGCUGCUAAUACCGGGUAUUCACUGGUCUCCGCAUGGGGUCUGGUGGAAAGGUUUUUUUCUGGUGGGGGAUGGGCUCGCGGCCUAUCAGCUUGUUGGUGGGGUGAUGGCCCACCAAGGCUUUGACGGGUAGCCGGCCUGAGAGGGUGACCGGUCACAUUGGGACUGAGAUACGGCCCAGACUCCUACGGGAGGCAGCAGUGGGGAAUAUUGCACAAUGGGCGCAAGCCUGAUGCAGCGACGCCGCGUGAGGGAUGGAGGCCCUCGGGUUGUGAACCUCUUUCGCCCGUGGUCAAGCCGCGACGUGGGUCGUGGUGAGGGUAGUGGGUAAAGAAGCGCCGGCUAACUACGUG